rnacentral:rRNA from 1 species
GACGAACGCUGGCGGCGUGCUUAACACAUGCAAGUCGAGCGGUAAGGCCCUUCGGGUACACGAGCGGCGAACGGGUGAGUAACACGUGGGUGACCUGCCCUUAGCUCUGGGAUAAGCCUGGGAAACUGGGUCUAAUACCGGAUAUGACCUCAUGACGCAUGUUGUGGGGUGGAAAGCCUUGUGCGGCUAGGGAUGGGCCCGCGGCCUAUCAGCUUGUUGGUGGGGUGAUGGCCACCAAGGCGACGACGGGUAGCCGGCCUGAGAGGGCGACCGGCCACACUGGGACUGAGACACGGCCCAGACUCCUACGGGAGGCAGCAGUGGGGAAUUUUGCGCAAUGGGGGAAACCCUGACGCAGCAACGCCGCGUGGAGGAUGAAGUCCCUUGGGACGUAAACUCCUUUCGAUCGGGACGAUAAUGACGGUACCGAGAGAAGAAGCCCCGGCUAACUUCGUGCCA